UACGAAGGUGGCUAGCGUUGUUCGGAAUCACUGGGCGUAAAGCGUAUGCAGGCGGAUCAUUAAGUCGGGGGUGAAAUCCUGAGGCUCAACCUCAGAACUGCCUUCGAUACUGAUGAUCUUGAGUCCGGGAGAGGUGAGUGGAACUGCGAGUGUAGAGGUGAAAUUCGUAGAUAUUCGCAAGAACACAAGUGGCGAAGGCGGCUCACUGGCCCGGUACUGACGCUGAGAUACGAAAGCGUGGGGAGCAAACAGG
rnacentral:rRNA from 1 species